UACGAAGGAUGCAAGCGUUAUCCGGAUUCAUUGGGUUUAAAGGGAGCGUAGGUGGCCUUAUAAGUCAGUGGUGAAAUCUCUCGGCUUAACCGAGAAAUUGCCAUUGAUACUGUAGGGCUUGAGUAUAGUUGCCGUUGGCGGAAUAUGACAUGUAGUGGUGAAAUACAUAGAGGUGUCAUAGAACACCGAUUGCGAAGGCAGCUGACGAAACUAUAACUGACGCUGAGGCGCGAAAGCGUGGGGAGCAAACAGG
rnacentral:rRNA from 1 species